GUGGGGAAUCUUAGACAAUGGGGGAAACCCUGAUCUAGCCAUGCCGCGUGAGCGAUGAAGGCCUUAGGGUUGUAAAGCUCUUUCAGCUGGGAAGAUAAUGACGGUACCAGCAGAAGAAGCCCCGGCUAACUCCGUGCCAGCAGCCGCGGUAAUACGGAGGGGGCUAGCGUUGUUCGGAAUUACUGGGCGUAAAGCGCACGUAGGCGGACUGGAAAGUCAGGGGUGAAAUCCCGGGGCUCAACCCCGGAACUGCCUUUGAAACUCCCAGUCUUGAGUUCGAGAGAGGUGAGUGGAAUUCCGAGUGUAGAGGUGAAAUUCGUAGAUAUUCGGAGGAACACCAGUGGCGAAGGCGGCUCACUGGCUCGAUACUGACGCUGAGGUGCGAAAGCGUGGGGAGCAAACAGGAUUAGAAACCCGGGUAGUCC
rnacentral:rRNA from 1 species